rnacentral:rRNA from 1 species
AUUGAACGCUGGCGGCAGGCCUAACACAUGCAAGUCGAACGAGUGGCGGACGGGUGAGUAAUGUCUGGGAAACUGCCUGAUGGAGGGGGGUAACUACUGGAAACGGUAGCUAAUACCGCAUACCAUCAGAUGUGCCCAGAUGGGAUUAUAUUGUGGGGGUGGUAACGGCUCACCAAGGCGACGCUCCCUAGCUGGUCUGAGAGGAUGACCAGCCACACUGGAACGGAGACACGGUCCAGACUCCUACGGGAGGCAGCAGUGGGGAAUAUUGCACAAGGGGAGCAAGCCGGAUAUGGACAUGCCGAGUGUAUGAAGAAGGCAUUCGGGUUGUAAAGUACUUUCAGCGGUGAGGCGUUACCCGCAGAAGAAGCACCGGCUAACUCCGUGCCAGCCGCCGCGGUAAUAC